UUGACCUCAGAUCAGGUAGGACUACCGCCUGAACUUAAGCAUAUCAAUAAGGCGAGGAACAGAAACCAACAGGGAUUCCCCUAGUAGUGGCGAAUGAAGCGGGAAAAGCUCAAGUUUGAAAUCUGGUGGGCUCGUCCCCUCAGAGUUGUAAGCUGAAGAGGCAUUGACCGACGUUGUCCGGGCCCAAUUUCCUUGGAACAGGAAGUCAUGGAGGGUGAGAACCCCGUCUGUGGCUCGGAGCCUUCGUCCUUGUGUCGUGUCCUCGAAGAGUCGGGUUGUUCGGGAAUGCAGCUCAAAAUGGGUGGUAAAUUCCAUCUAAGGCUAAAUAUUGGCGAGAGACCGAUAGCAAACAAGUAGAGUGAUCGAAAGAUGAAAAGUACUUUGAAAAGAGAGUGAAACAGUACGUGAAAUUGUUGAAAGGGAAGCGUUUGGCAUCAGCCCAUGGUGCCCGAAGAUCAUCCAGGCUUCUGUCUGGUGCACUUUUCGGGCGUCGGGCCAGCGUCGACUUUGCCCGCUGGAGAAAGGCCUUGGGGAUGUGGCUCCCUUCGGGGAGCGUUAUAACCCUUGGCGUCAUGCAGUGUGGCGGGGUCGAGGUCCACGG
rnacentral:rRNA from 1 species